rnacentral:sRNA from 1 species
GAAGCGGGCGUGUCAAUCGGGCAUGACGGUACGGAGAACGGAGACGGUUUUCCCGGUUUCCCGCUCUGGCAUCAACGAAUUGGCAGACGAGCUUCUGUCCCGUCCGCCCG